rnacentral:tRNA from 1 species
GCCGGAGUGGUGAAAUUGGUAGACGCACCGGUUUCAGGGACCGGCGGCACUUGAUGCUGUGGGGGUUCGAAUCCCCCCUCCGGCA